UACAGCUAAUUUCGAAAUAACUAUUGCAAAACUAUUUUUUAAAUUUUCAGAGAGGCAAUGAUGCCCGCUGUUCAAUUCGGCGCGCGGAGGUGUCGCCCCAGUAAAUAUACAGUAGAGCUUACCAGCUAGCCAAUUCAGAUUUCUCAAGUUAUUACAAUUCCGAGUUCAAACCAGAAGUGAGCAGAUAAAUUUCUCCAAAGAUAAUGGCGAAAAGGCGGAAGGGCUUAUAUACAUAUUCUUCCCUGCACAGCAGAUCUAUGCAAAAAUUCCAUGCAGAAAUCAGGUGAUCUCCUCUCUUCACCCUCUAUAAACAGAUUGACGUGUACCUAAAUUAUUGAUAAUACUAUUCUGGACUACGAUUGAUGGACUCUAUGAGAGAUUACGGUUCUCCCAAUUUGAAUUUGUUGACAUCUCCAAUCCUGCACCAAAGUUUGCACCAAACUAAAAUUCACCACCAACCAUUGUACAAAUGAUAGUUUUUAUUAUUUUAUUCAUUCUUUGGGUUUUUGACAAUGUAUUUAUUUUUAAAAAAUUAUUUAUUUAUUUUAUAACUAUAUAAAUUACUAAAUCAUAACUACGUUAAAGUAACAAAUAUAUUGAAUUAUUGUUGAUUAAUAAAUUAUUCACAUGUUUUAUAUAUUAUGUUAAAUUGACGAAAAUAAUUACUAAAUUAAAAAAUCCUUAAUUAAUAUUGAUUAUAUUAUUAUUAUUAUUAUUAUAAAACGAAAAUGUCACAAAUAUCUUUAAUCAUUAUAUUUGAAAAAUGAAAGAGAUGGGCAAAACCAGACAUUGCACCAUUUGGUACAAAAAAUGGUGCAAUGAACAGUGUUGUACGAAAACUGUUCACGCUGCAACGGUUGGAGGGACGUAUUUUGGUGCAAAAGGGUGCCCAUUCAAUGCUACACCAAAUUUCGCCAAAAUUUGGUGCAAAAGCUGUGCCUAAGUUUUCACUAUUUUGCAAAAUGGUGCAAAGUGAAUAAUAUUGCACCGAAUGGUGCAAAGUCAAAUUUGCCAUUUUUUUUUCCAGUUGCCAAAGUAAUUGAUGGAGGGUACUUGUGUCAUUUGUCUUAUAUAUUUUUUAAUAUAAUAAUAAUAAUAUUAUUAUUAUUAUUAUUAUUUGAUUUAAUAUUUUCAUUUUUUUAAUGACAUGAUUUAAUAUUUUCAUUUUUAUAGUGUUUCUACUAAUUGUAUUAUAUUUUUUAUAUUUAUUAAUGAAUUUAAUCUUUUCCUUAAUUUAACAUAAUUAUUUAUUUAGUAAUUUAUGUAUUUGUAAAAUAUAUAAAUAAAUAAUUUUUCAAAUAAAUAAAUUAUUAAUAAUAAAAAAAGAGAAGAAAAUGAUUAAACACUAUUCAUUUAAUAUAAAUUUUGGUAUAAUGGUUGGAGAUGAUUUUUAGUAUGGUGCAAAGUUGGAGAUGACUUAAGUUUAAUCAUUUCGAUUUCUCUGUGAUAUAUUGAUAUUGCACAAUUCAUUACAUUUUAUGCGGUAUUGCUCUUCCAGUUUUGUAUCUGUUGAUGUAUGGUGAUCUAUUGAUCCAUAAGAAAAUAGACAUCUGUUUAUAACACUCUAAAUAUAAGGAUUACGUACUAAAACACUGAGCACCAUGCACAAAUCUAAUAAUGUGUACAAGAAAAAGCAAACAAACCAACAAAACCUUUACCACACGCAAGCACAAACUUUGGAAAUUCAGAACACUUGGAACUGUAGUUUAACUGAUAGGACGUAUUUAACAUUCCUCACUUUCUUUUGGCAGUGGUGGCUUUGGAUGAGAGGACUUACCGGUGAUGGCCUUUUUGACCUUGGCAAUUGAGUGCUUCAUUUUGGAUCCUACGCCUGACAGAAUGUUAUGUGAU
rnacentral:lncRNA from 1 species